UCCCUGGAGGUCCAGUGGUUAGGGCUCUGUGCUUCCACCGCAGGGGACCCAGGUUCGAUCCCUGGUCGGGGAA